rnacentral:rRNA from 1 species
AGGGUUUGAUUCUGGCUCAGAUUGAACGCUGGCGGCAGGCCUAACACAUGCAAGUCGAGCGGUAGAGAGAAGCUUGCUUCUCUUGAGAGCGGCGGACGGGUGAGUAAUGCCUAGGAAUCUGCCUGGUAGUGGGGGAUAACGCUCGGAAACGGACGCUAAUACCGCAUACGUCCUACGGGAGAAAGCAGGGGACCUUCGGGCCUUGCGCUAUCAGAUGAGCCUAGGUCGGAUUAGCUAGUUGGUGAGGUAAUGGCUCACCAAGGCGACGAUCCGUAACUGGUCUGAGAGGAUGAUCAGUCACACUGGAACUGAGACACGGUCCAGACUCCUACGGGAGGCAGCAGUGGGGAAUAUUGGACAAUGGGCGAAAGCCUGAUCCAGCCAUGCCGCGUGUGUGAAGAAGGUCUUCGGAUUGUAAAGCACUUUAAGUUGGGAGGAAGGGCAGUUACCUAAUACGUAAUUGUUUUGACGUUACCGACAGAAUAAGCACCGGCUAACUCUGUGCCAGCAGCCGCGGUAAUACAGAGGGUGCAAGCGUUAAUCGGAAUUACUGGGCGUAAAGCGCGCGUAGGUGGUUCGUUAAGUUGGAUGUGAAAUCCCCGGGCUCAACCUGGGAACUGCAUUCAAAACUGUCGAGCUAGAGUAUGGUAGAGGGUGGUGGAAUUUCCUGUGUAGCGGUGAAAUGCGUAGAUAUAGGAAGGAACACCAGUGGCGAAGGCGACCACCUGGACUGAUACUGACACUGAGGUGCGAAAGCGUGGGGAGCAAACAGGAUUAGAUACCCUGGUAGUCCACGCCGUAAACGAUGUCAACUAGCCGUUGGGAGCCUUGAGCUCUUAGUGGCGCAGCUAACGCAUUAAGUUGACCGCCUGGGGAGUACGGCCGCAAGGUUAAAACUCAAAUGAAUUGACGGGGGCCCGCACAAGCGGUGGAGCAUGUGGUUUAAUUCGA